rnacentral:lncRNA from 1 species
CACCACCAUCCCCCACCACAUCACCACCCGCCGCCGCCUAUUCGCCACCACGACACCGUUGUUUUCGUACCACCUCCAGUACUGCUUCCAAGAGCACCACGGCCAUCCUUGUCAAUUCCGCUCGUCGGCACCUCGAUGCGUAGCAGAUACAAUCCUUGUUUGCCCCUUGUGUUACUACUCAUUUUCUUCCUCGUAUUAGUUAUUGUUUUUCUGGUCUUGUGGUUUUAGUAAGCCAAUGCUACAAAUUGAAGAAUAAAUAUAUGUAACUCGGUGUGUGAUUUUUUCUGCUGUUCUUACUAUGUUUUCCUCAAGUCCUCUUGUAGUUCAUUGAUAAUGAUUUCGGAUCUGCGAAAAUCGUCAAUGCUUAAUAUUAAAUAUGAUAAUCACAUGCCAAGAGUUCCCGUGGAAAAAUUGCGCGUACUAAUGAUCUGAUCGUAUCAAUUUAUUAAAUUUAUUGUUUGGCCAACUGCUCUGAAUUCUGAUCAUGUCCAUGUGUCACGCACUAGUAUGCACUGAUAUGUGAUAGUAAAAUUAUUAAUUUUUCUUAUUUGUGUAUAUAUGUCACGUACGGUAGAUACUAAAUAUUUUGUGAAGGGGAGAUAAAAGCUCGCAAAUCGUACAAAUUAGAAUAAUAAUUUCCAACCCCACAGUCCAUACAACACAUACAUGACACAUCCGAGCACGAUAUAUGAGAUUUAUGAUCUCAACUACAAUUUCAUCUACCAUUCAAACUAAACCAUUAAUUAUGUCACUUACCAUUCACGCGACUUUGAUGUUGAGCAUGGACUAUGAUGGCGCCAUCCACCUACACUUCCGUUGUAAAUAACUGCUCGCAUCUUUGUCAAUAUUAAUAAAGCCUCGCUAGGUGUUCUAAAAAUAAAAUGGGCCAAUAAUUCAGAUAAACAUUCAGAAUUUUACUUUACUCAGUUGAUAAUCCGACUCGGGUCAUAAUCAAGGCCGACUCGAAUUAAAAUUGGAGUAAUUUAGAUCAAAAUUGGGUCAACUCUAAUCUUAUAUUAAAAAAUUUUAAAAUGGAG